AAGCAUGUGAUGUGGACAAUAUCAAAAAUAACCUUUAUACCUUUCCCAUGCUUAUGGUAGAGAUUCAGAGUCUUUCUGAGUGAAGUUGGCAAUUUUCCCUCUCAGCUC